CGCGUAGGUGGUAGUGAAAGUCUAUGGUGGAAUCUUAGGGCUUAACCCUAAAACUGCCUUGGAAACAUCAUUACUUGAGUCAGUGAGGGGAGGGUAGAAUUCCUGGUGUAGCGGUGAAAUGCGUAGAUAUCAGGAGGAAGGCCGGUGGCGAAGGCGGCCCUCUGGCGCUGAACUGACGCUGAGGCGCGAAAGCGUGGGUAGCAAACAGGAUUAGAUACCCUGGUAGUCCACGCCCUAAACGGUGGGUACUAGGUGUAGGGCUCGUAAGGGUUCUGUGCCGAAGGGAAACCAUUAAGUACCCCGCCUGGGGAGUACGGCCGCAAGGUUGAA
rnacentral:rRNA from 1 species